rnacentral:rRNA from 2 species
GAGCGGCGGACGGGUGAGUAAUACCUGGGAAUCUGCCUGAUAGUGGGGGAUAACGUUCGGAAACGGACGCUAAUACCGCAUACGUCCUACGGGAGAAAGCAGGGGAUCUUCGGACCUUGCGCUAUCAGAUGAGCCCAGGUCGGAUUAGCUUGUUGGUGAGGUAACGGCUCACCAAGGCUGCGAUCCGUAACUGGUCUGAGAGGAUGAUCAGUCACACUGGAACUGAGACACGGUCCAGACUCCUACGGGAGGCAGCAGUGGGGAAUAUUGGACAAUGGGGGAAACCCUGAUCCAGCCAUGCCGCGUGUGUGAAGAAGGUCUUCGGAUUGUAAAGCACUUUAAGUUGGGAGGAAGGGCUGAUGCUUAAUACGUAUCAGUCUUGACGUUACCGACAGAAUAAGCACCGGCUAACUCUGUGCCAGCAGCCGCGGUAAUACAGAGGGUGCAAGCGUUAAUCGGAA